rnacentral:rRNA from 1 species
UACAGAGGGUGCAAGCGUUGUUCGGAAUUAUUGGGCGUAAAGGGCUCGUAGGCGGUUGUCGCGUCGGGAGUGAAAUCCAGGGCUUAACUCUGGACUGGCUUCCGAUACGGGCAGACUAGAGGUAUGCAGGGGAGAACGGAAGUUCCUGGUGUAGCGGUGAAAUGCGCAGAUAUCAGGAGGAACACCGGUGGCGAAGGCGGUCUCUGGCAUUACCUGACGGCUGAGGAGCGAAGUGUGGGAGCGAACAGG